rnacentral:rRNA from 1 species
GAGUUUGAUCUUGGCUCAGAACGAACGCUGGCGGCAUGCCUAACACAUGCAAGUCGAGCGCCUGUAGCGAUACAGGAGCGGCGCACGGGUGAGUAACGCGUGGGAACCUGCCUUGAGGUUCGGGACAACCGCGGGAAACUGCGGCUGAUACCGGAUGAUGUCUGAGGACCAAAGAUUUAUCGCCUUUGAGAGGGGCCCGCGUCGGAUUAGGUAGUUGGUGAGGUAACGGCUCACCAAGCCUGCGAUCCGUAGCUGGUCUGAGAGGAUGGCCAGCCACACUGGGACUGAGACACGGCCCAGACUCCUACGGGAGGCAGCAGUGGGGAGUAUUGGGACAAUGGGGGCAACCCUGAUCCAGCAAUGCCGCGUGGGUGAUGAAGGCCUUCGGUUGUAAGA